UGCCCGGGGAGGAGUCUGGCCUCUUCAGCUCCUGUGUGGUGGCCUGAUAUUCAGUCUGUGAGCUGGGAGCCUGUUGGCAGGUCCCUCUUUUUAUUUUCGCUGAGAGCUUUCUUUUACUAAAUGCCACCAUCCUUACCUUUCAAGGUGUCUGCGUGCCUAAUUUUUCCUGGUUGUUAGACAAGAACCCGGAUUUUAGUUGAACUCUGGAGCAAAAAUCCUGCAUCAUUUGUAGGUCAACAACAAGAGGCCAGGACCUCCCAAGAAAAGCUUUACUAAUGUAAUAGCUUUGGCCAAGUCCACCCAAUAUAUUUUCCUCUCUGCAAAGAGAAACAAGCUAUUGUCUCAUCUUAGGUUUCAUCUUCUUCCAUGCCACUGUUAUUCAUGUUCAAAUCCUGGCUGUCCUUCAGGGUCCAAUUCAAAUGAUUAUCGCCAUUUUCUAUUAAUGUCAUUUCUUCCUAUUUUCUACCUUUUGUUAGCUAUGUUAAAGUGUUUCUUUACCAACAUCCCCCAUAUAUUGUGUAACACAGUGUCUAUGGCUUACUCAUUUUUGAAUCCUUAUCAUGACCUGACAUAAUGAAGAUUCUUAGUACAUAGUGAUACAUGUAAAUAUGAGUUAAUUAGUACAUGAUAGACUUGAUUUCCAGAAUGAUUUUGUAUAGUUGAAUUGUGUAGUAAGGGGACACAUGUGAAAUGAAGACUUUAGUCAGUAUCAAGAAGAUAUUUUGGGUGACUUCACAUAUCUGCCAAUGAUAAAUCUAGAAACAAUAGGUGCUUGGGUAGGUGAUUUCCUUUUGCCUUCUUUAUCAUUGUUUUCCCAGUAUUUCUUACAUUCAUCUAAUUUCAUUAGAUGCCCAUAUACUUUAUACUGGCUCUUCCUGUGAGGUUCGAACUGGUCCAGUCCAUUUGUUUUCAGAAUUGAUUCAUCUGGAGAGUCAUCUCCUAUCCUCCCAAACAAUGAUAUACCAGUCUGAGGACUGUGUAGAAGGGACUUCUCUUUCUACUCAGUAUGACCAAAAUAAUUCAAUUCUAGUUGUGGUGUGUGAUUUAUGAAUAUUUUGUCCUUUAGUUUGUGUGAGCCAAUUUUGUGCCAUAAGAAUUUUAGCCUCCUUUUCCACAAAAGAGUGAUUUAAUCAAACAAAAGUUGACAAUCAAUGUAGUACAUUUGUGUGACAGUGAUUAAACAUGGUGUUUUUCUCUUAGGUGUCUGAGUAGAUUUGGAAAUGCCCAUUCAGCCCUCAGAGCUCCUCUGCUUUAAGGGUGAUGGACUUCCUGUACCACUACGUAGUGCAUGAGUGCCAGCCACUGGUAUCUAGAACUGUGAUUAGUGAGGAAACACUAGGAGGAACAAACAACCCAACUCUUUUUAUCUAAUCUGUUGACUCCAAAGGGACCUUCUGCUUAUUCCAGUUAAAACUCAAGCUGCAAUUCAAAAUGAAAUCAGUAUCUUUUUUCUCUACUUUUCAGCAAAGCAAGAUGCUACCUUAUAAUUACCACGUAACAAUCAAUCGCAAACAUAGUGGCUUAAAGCAGCUCCUCUUUUAGCCUACAUAUCUGCAAACUGGCAGUCUGGACUGAGCUCAGCUGGAUGUUUUUUCUGAGCUGAUCAUGUAUGUAGGGUCUGCUGCUGGCUGGUUUAGACUGAUGGUGGAUGAGAAACCACAUGAAGAAGAGAGGCAUGAUGGUGGCAGAGUUCUGAAAGAGUCACACAGAAGGGCGUUGAGUUCGUGGCUUGAAAAUAGCAUCCUGUCACUUCUACCACAUUCUAUUUACCAGGCCAGCCCAGAUAAAGAUGUGAAGAAACAGACUCCAUCUCUUGAUGGGAGAAGUUGAAAAUCAAUGGAAAAUGGCAUGGAUAAGGAAAGGAGUGAUGAUUGUGGCCAUAUUUGUAAUGGCCAUAUUUGAUACCCUUUUCAGUUUUCCUAGCCACACUUCUCAUUGGCCAGGAAAAUUAAAUGCAUGUCAACACUGAAGAAAACAGAUCUUGGUUAAAAGCAAUGAUGUAGCUAAUAUCCCGUUCAGGUAAAAGAUUACUUAUAUAGUGUGAGACAGGCAUGAGGCAGAGAAGUGCUUACAGGUUGGUUUCUGCUUUGUUAGCAGAUUUACUUUUAGAUCAUAUACUACUUUGUUUUUACUGUUUUAUUGAGAAAAAAUAACAAAUAUUUCCAAAAUUUUGCAGCAUGCAACUCAGUGCUUCAGUUGGCAUUCAAUCAAAAUUUCCUUGAAAUAAAAAAAGACAAGAGAGAGACUUGGAAUUAUGACUCUUCUACUAGAUUAGCUCCUUCAUGUCAAAAUCUGUCAAGUUUAUGAUUUAUUCAGAUAGCACUUGUUUUUGGUGUAAUAACUAAACUGUUGCUUUAGAGUCUACUACAUUCUCCUCUAUUAUUUGGCAUUUUUCUCUUUAUUAUUUUGUUCAAGUAGGAUAUUGUGCUGAGUUGAACCAUGAAAUGAAUUGUAUUGAGCAACAUCAACAACAUAAAUAUUCUGGGGUGUCAUCUGCAUUUUCAUAUCUGGCUGCUCAAAUUCUUUUUACAGCUAUAGCUUUGAUAAUAAUGUAAUAGCAUAAUGUUUUUCAUUAGAUAUCAAAUCAUAGAAGACAACAAAGAUGUGUUAAGUUAGCAUAGUUUAAUAUAAGGAAACAACAGCAUCAGUAAAAGCAUUGAGCACUAAAUAUCUCUUCCAUUUCAGUUCUUUUACAGGAAGCUUUUGUUACGUGUUGUCAGCACAUUGCUGUGAUGCUCAAGUAUAGCUCUUUAAUGUGAAAACCUGGUAUUUGGGCAUGGCUUGAAGCAGGUGGGUGUCAUUGUGACUGGCUGCUACCUCCCCAUGAGUCUUCUAAAAUAAAACCUGCAAAUUCACAUCUUCCCCAUGCUUCCAGAGAAUGCAUAUUCUUCCUUUGAAAAAAGAAAACCAGGUAGUCGUACAGUGUCCAGAAGGCAAAAGGACAAGUAUGCACUGCCCUACUUACCUACUUUCCACACUGCUGCACAGGAAAAUCUGACAGAGGACAAUAACAAACAUCUCACCAGCUCAUGCGUUCUUUUUUGAUCCUAAUUCCGAGAGACUCACCAAAGACAUGAAGAGAAAACAAACAAUACUUUUCUUGGAAAUAUUGUAAUUGCUGGUACAUUUGUUGUUCUGGCAUAAAGUAGAAAUUGUCAGUUACCAGAACAAUACUCAGUGAACUUAUGAAUAUAUGGUAAAUAUUAAACACAUCCCACUUGGAUGAGAAGAUAUGUGAGUCGAUGAGUAUAGCUAAGUCUAAAGUUAGAUGUGUUCCAUAAACAUAGUGUUUAUGGAGUUGGUGCAUAUUCACUUCUCAGUAAGUUACACUUUCUUAAUUUCUUUUUGGUGCUAGGUGAUAUUCUGCUAAGUACACAUAAGUAUAGUAAUAUUGGUUAGUAAACUAGUAAAAUGCUCCCCUAGCUAUUAGUAAAUAGCUUCUGCCUUGUGUCUCCAAAAUAUCUCUACCAUUAUCCUGAUCUUGAUUGCUAUUUUAUAUUAAAAGAAGACAUGUGAAUGUAUAUGAACAUUUAAAAAAAUUGUUAUUUCUUAUUUACCUUUAAAAAUACAGUGUGCUGUACUAGUACUACUACUAAUAAAUAGCAUCAUUGACUCAUAGAUCACUUACUAUCAGCCAGGCAGUCCUAAGUAUUCCACUUACAUUAACUCACUUAAUGCAUGCAACAAUGCUAUGAGGCACUAUUUUUAUCAUUUGCAUAUUUACAUAUAAGGAAACAGAGACACUAAUAUUAAGUAGUAAGAGACAUAAAUGGGAGUCGAAGUUCCAUAGUCUAUUAAUAGUUUUGGAGUUCAGGAUAGUCUCUAUUACUCUAACCUACCUCAUUAAGCAGCAUCCUUGACUAUUCUAGGUAAAGAGUAUUGUAUUCUUUUCUAAGAUAAAAACAUGACUUGCUACUAUAUUUGUUUGGAUUCAGCUUUACUGGAACACAGCUUAGCUUUGACAUUUACAGACAUGGGUUAGGUUUCAUUUUGUUGCAAGAUAAAAGGCAAUCUGAUAUUUAGUUUACCUGCAAAAGGCAGUUAGGAAGCCCUAGAGGAACCUAAUUAAAAUGCAGCACAUUUCCAAGGCACCAUAUCUUGCUGUGUUGCCAUAGAAACAACGAGGAUUUCUGGUCACUGACCUUCCAGGGAAUCUGAGGAUGUAUUUUCAUAAGGUUCAUAAGAGAAGCCAUCCUAGUAUGUUAACCUAUAGUUGCAGAUCAACUAUACGUUAUGGAAAUUCCCUAUGCAAUUCUAGCCAAUUUUAAAACCAAAUUAUACUAGCAAAACUUACUAGAGGCUCAAACUAAGGGCUCUUUGAAGGAAUGUGGUUUAACUGCUUCCAAUAUAAGAUUUCAAAUAAUUAAGGAUACUGUAGUAGCAGCAAAAACAUUAAAGAAAAGCUUAGGUAAUUACACAAAGAACAUUGGAACUAAAAUCAUAUUUAGGAAUAGUUUCAAUGUUAUAUCUAUUCUAUUGCAUUUUGGGUUCUUCAAUUCUAGGCUUACUCAAAGGAUAAAACGAACAUUACUGCAUCAAUCAACUACACCUAGAAAAUCAAACUUUAUUAUACAAUAUUAAGUUGCUAAUAUUAUUUAUACCUAUAGAUUCUUAAUUCAUGCCCUUUACUAUCUAUUUAUAAAUUCAUUCAUUCCAUUACUAAAUAUGUAUAAUUGACAAUCCCAGUUAUACCUUAAUUUAUAUUUUUUUGUCUAUUUGACAUAAGCCAAGUACCCAUGCCAUGAUUCAACACAGAAAAUUACAAAGCCCACCUUACUGUAGACUGCUGCUCUUAUUGCAUCAACAUUCGUAUCUUCCACGGAAAAUAAUUAACUUAGUUCUAUAAUCAGGAUAUGCCCGGUUUAUUUACAAGGAAAUACCUAUCAGGUGCUAAUUUCUCUUAGAAUUAGAAAUCUUGGCCAGGCAUGGUGGCUCACACCUGUAAUCCCAGCACUUUGGGAGGCCGAGGUAGGUGGAUUA
rnacentral:lncRNA from 1 species